rnacentral:rRNA from 1 species
GGAGGAUCCGAGCGUUAUCCGGAUUUAUUGGGUUUAAAGGGAGCGUAGGUGGACUGGUAAGUCAGUUGUGAAAGUUUGCGGCUCAACCGUAAAAUUGCAGUUGUUACUGUCAGUCUUGAGUACAGUAGAGGUGGGCGGAAUUCGUGGUGUAGCGGUGAAAUGCUUAGAUAUCACGAAGAACUCCGAUUGCGAAGGCAGCUCACUGGACUGCAACUGACACUGAUGCUCGAAAGUGUGGGUAUCAAACAGGAUUAGAUACCCUGGUAGUCCACACAGUAAACGAUGAAUACUCGCUGUUGGCGAUACAAUGUCAGCAGCCAAGCGAAAGCAUUAAGUAUUCCACCUGGGGAGUACGCCGGCAACGGUGAAACUCAAAGG